UAAAAUAAUUAAGGGCACACAAAGGAUGCCUAGGUAGUAAGAGCCGAUGAAGGACGUGGUAAGCUGCGAUAAGCCUAGAUAAGUUGCAAUCGAACGUAAGAGUCUAGGAUUUCCGAAUGGAGCAAUCUAUUAAGAUGGAGUCUUAAUACGAAAGAGGGAACCGCGUGAACUGAAACAUCUAAGUAACGCGAGGAAAAGAAAGUAAAAACGAUACCCAAAGUAGCGGCGAGCGAAAUGGGUCAAGCCUAAACCUUAAAUAUGUCAAGGAUACAGCCGUUGUAUUUAAGGGGUUGUGGGACAGAGUGAUGAAGAACUGUAAGAUAUUCAAUAUAGUGUAUUGAUGAAUUAGAAUUGUCUGGAAAGGUGAACCGCAGAAGGUGAAAGUCCUGUAUAAGUAAAUCCUUACACAUAUAACUUUGCUCCCAAGUAACAUGGAACACGAGGAAUUCUGUGUGAAUCAGUGAGGACCAUAUCUCAUAAGGCUAAAUACUCUUACUAACCGAUAGCGCAUAGUACCGUGAGGGAAAGGUGAAAAGAACCCCUGGAGGGGAGUGAAAUAGAACCUGAAAUUGUGUGCUUACAAGCGGUCAGAGCCCAUUUGGGUGAUGGCGUGCCUUUUGGAGAAUGAUCCUGCGAGUUACGUUAAACGGCGAGGUUAAGUAUAACGGAGCCGAAGGGAAACCAAGUCUUAAUAGGGCGAUUUAGUCGUUUGGCGUAGACGCGAAACCUGGUGAUCUAAACCUGUCCAGGAUGAAGCUGUGGUAAGACACAGUGGAGGUCCUAACCCACCGCCGUUGAAAAGUUGGGGGAUGAGGUAGGUUUAGGGGUGAAAAGCCAAUCGAACCAGGAGAUAGCUCGUUCUCUCCGAAAUGCAUCUAGGUGCAGCCUUGAGUGUUCAAUUAUGGGGGUAGAGCACUGAAUGAUCUAGGGGGCAUAUUGCUUACUGAAAUCAAUCAAACUCCGAAUACCAUAAUUUAUAGCUCAGGAGUGAGACUAUGGGAGUUAACUUCCAUUGUCAAAAGGGAAACAACCCAGACCACCAGCUAAGGUCCCUAAUUAUAACUAAGUGGGAAAGGAGGUGGAGAUUCACAAACAACUAGGAGGUUGGCUUAGAAGCAGCCAUACCUUUAAAGAGUGCGUAAUAGCUCACUAGUCGAGAGUCUCUGCGCCGACAAUGUAACGGGGCUAAGUUAUAAACCGAAGCUGUGGAAUCCUUUUGGAUUGGUAGGAGAGCGUUCUGUAGGCCGUUGAAGAAGAAGGGUAACCGACUUUGGAGGUAUCAGAAGUGAGAAUGCAGGAAUAAGUAGCGAGAAAGGGGGCGAGAAUCCCCCUCGCCGGAAGACCAAGGUUUUCAGGGUAAAGCUUGUCUUCCCUGAGUAAGCCGGGACCUAAGCCCAGGCUAUAAUGCGUAGGCGAAUGGAAAACAGAUUAAUAUUUCUGUGCCAGUCAUUUAUUGUGAUGGAGGGACGCAGAAGGGUAUGCGCGCGGACGAACGGAAGUGUCCGUAGAAGUAUGUAGGAUGACUUAGUAGGUAAAUCCAUUAAGUUAUAUCUGAGGUAUGAUAUACAGUCGUAAGAUGAAUGCGCAAAUCCCACGCUGCCAAGAAAAGCUUCUAACGUUAAUAUAUGACUGCCCGUACUGUAAACCGACACAGGUGGUCAGGAUGAGAAAUCUAAGGCGGACAGGCUAACUCUCGUUAAGGAACUCUGCAAAAUAACCUCGUAACUUCGGGAGAAGAGGAGCCCUUGGGUGUUAGUAUCCAUGCGAUACAAAGCGCUCGAGGGUCGCAGUGAAGAGGCUCAAGCAACUGUUUAACAAAAACACAGGUCUAUGCUAAGCUGGAAGGCGAUGUAUAUGGGCUGACACCUGCCCAGUGCUGGAAGGUUAAGAGGAGGAGUGAGAGCUCCGAAUUGAAGCCCCAGUGAACGGCGGCCGUAACUAUAACGGUCCUAAGGUAGCGAAAUUCCUUGUCGGGUAA
rnacentral:rRNA from 1 species